rnacentral:hammerhead_ribozyme from 1 species
ACCUUGUUGACGAGUGCCAAGUAGUACGAAACGUACGUCCAAGGU